rnacentral:rRNA from 1 species
CAAUAGCGUAUAUUAAAGUUGUUGCAGUUAAAAAGCUCGUAGUUGGAUUUGUGGUGUACUUCGGCGGCCCGUCACUAUGUGAUGGAGCUUGCUGAAGUCGCCAUCCUUGGGUGGAUCCUGUGUGGCAUUAAGUUGUCGUGCAGGGGAUGCCCAUCGUUUACUGUGAAAAAAUUAGAGUGUUCAAAGCAGGCUUAUGCCGUUGAAUAUAUUAGCAUGGAAUAAUAAGAUAGGACCUUGGUACUAUUUUGUUGGUUUGCGCACCAAGGUAAUGAUUAAUAGGGACAGUUGGGGGUAUUCGUAUUUCAUUGGCAGAGGUGAAAUUCUUGGAUUUUUGAAAGACGAACUACUGCGAAAGCAUUUACCAAGGAUGUUUUCAUUA